rnacentral:ncRNA from 2 species
GCCUUCUUGUCGGAGUGCCGCCCGCCGGGCGGCUGAGAUUGCGAAAGCAAAAUCCGUAGAACCUGUCGGGGUAAUGCCUGCGUAGGAAACAAAACCUCCCCGCCC